GUAAUACCGCGUCUAAGGUCCAUCGCAUUCAUACCUGCUGCCAUUGACUUGAAUCCUUCAACAAAUAUUGCUCGGGUGAGGAUUGUUGAACAAGUGGUACCUGAAAAAUGGAAAAUAUGGAACCACCAAUUACAAAUAUAUUAGGAUGGAAAGUUAUGAACAGUCAUACAAUGACAAAAUCGAACUGCAGCAGUAGAGGCAAUACUGAACUUUUAAAGGCUUACCAUCACUAACAACAUCAUUCAUAGCAUUGGCAACCUAUUUCACGAGGCUAGCACCAACAUUUUGUAUCUUGUCCUUGAAUUCAACAUUUUUUGCGAGA
rnacentral:lncRNA from 1 species